CUCAUAUAGGUUUGAAUAAAAUUAUGGAGCAAACAACAUGCAAUAAUGAUUCUAUUGUGCACCCUUAGAUGAUAGAAUGAUGGACUCCUAAGCAUUCCCCAUCUAAGUUUUAAUAACCCAAAACAUCUUUCAAUAACAUUACGUGCUGAAGCAUGUUUCAUAUUGAAAAAUUCUUCCGGAGUACUUAGCUGGUAACCUUGACGCCACUCAUUCAAAUGAUAUCUUUGUCCUCUAAAAGGUGCAAGAAAUCUUUUACAAUUUGUGUAUCCAGCAUCAACUAGAUAAUAACAACCUAUAAAAAAAACUAUUUGUCAUGGUUAAUUUCCC
rnacentral:lncRNA from 1 species